rnacentral:rRNA from 1 species
UGGGGAAUAUUGGACAAUGGGCGAAAGCCUGAUCCAGCCAUGCCGCGUGUGUGAAGAAGGUCUUCGGAUUGUAAAGCACUUUAAGUUGGGAGGAAGGGCAGUAAGCGAAUACCUUGCUGUUUUGACGUUACCGACAGAAUAAGCACCGGCUAACUCUGUGCCAGCAGCCGCGGUAAUACAGAGGGUGCAAGCGUUAAUCGGAAUUACUGGGCGUAAAGCGCGCGUAGGUGGUUCGUUAAGUUGAAUGUGAAAGCCCCGGGCUCAACCUGGGAACUGCAACCAAAACUGGCGAGCGAGAGUAGGGCAGAGGGUGGUGGAAUAUCCUGUGUAGCGGUGAAAUGCGUAGAUAUAGGAAGGAACACCAGUGGCGAAGGCGACCACCUGGGCUCAUACUGACACUGAGGUGCGAAAGCGUGGGGAGCAAACAGG